GAUGAAGAACGUAGCGAAAUGCGAUAAGUAGUGUGAAUUGCAGAAUUCAGUGAAUCAUCGAAUCUUUGAACGCACAUUGCGCCCCUUGGUAUUCCGGGGGGCAUGCCUGUUCGAGCGUCAUUAUAACCCCUCAAGCUCAGCUUGGUGUUGGGGCCUGCCAACUGGCAGCCCUUAAAAUCAGUGGCGGCGCCAUCUGGCUCUAAGCGUAGUAAUUUCUCUCGCUAUAGGGUCCCGGUGGAUGCUGGCCAGCAACCCCCAAUUUUCUAUGGUUGACCUCGGAUCAGGUAGGGAUACCCGCUGAACUUAAGCAUAUCAAUAAGCGGAGGA
rnacentral:misc_RNA from 1 species